ensembl:snRNA U6 U6 spliceosomal RNA
GUGCUUGCUUCGGCAGCACAUAUACUAAAACUGGAACGAUACAGAGAAGAUGAGCAUGACGCCUCGCAAGGACGACAUGCAAAUUUGUGAAGCGUUCCCUACUUUU